AUUGAACGCUGGCGGCAGGCCUAACACAUGCAAGUCGAGCGGAUGAUGGGAGCUUGCUCCUGGAUUCAGCGGCGGACGGGUGAGUAAUGCCUAGGAAUCUGCCUGGUAGUGGGGGACAACGUCUCGAAAGGAACGCUAAUACCGCAUACGUCCUACGGGAGAAAGCAGGGGACCUUCGGGCCUUGCGCUAUCAGAUGAGCCUAGGUCGGAUUAGCUAGUUGGUGGGGUAAAGGCCUACCAAGGCGACGAUCCGUAACUGGUCUGAGAGGAUGAUCAGUCACACUGGAACUGAGACACGGUCCAGACUCCUACGGGAGGCAGCAGUGGGGAAUAUUGGACAAUGGGCGAAAGCCUGAUCCAGCCAUGCCGCGUGUGUGAAGAAGGUCUUCGGAUUGUAAAGCACUUUAAGUUGGGAGGAAGGGCAGUAAGUUAAUACCUCGCUGUUUUGUCGUUACCAACAGAAUAAGCACCGGCUAACUUCGUGCCAGCCGCCGCCGUAAUAC
rnacentral:rRNA from 1 species